AACGAACGCUGGCGGCAGGCUUAACACAUGCAAGUCGAAGGCCCGGCAAGGGGAUUGGCAGACGGGGUGGUAACACGUGGGAAGCUACCCAGUUCUACGGAAGAACCCAGGGAAACUUGGACUAAUACCGUAUACGCCCUAGGGUGAAAAGAGUCAGCGGAAUUGGAUGAGCCCGCGUUGGAUUAGCUAGUUGGUGGGGUAAUGGCCUACCAAGGCGACGAUCCAUAGCUGGUCUGAGAGGAUGAUCAGCCACACUGGGACUGAGAAACGGCCCAGAAUCCUACGGGAGGCAGCAGUGGGGAAUAUUGGACAAUGGGCGCAAGCCUGAUCCAGCCAUGCCGCGUGAGUGAUGAAGGCCUUAGGGUUGUAAAGCUCUUUCAGUGGGGAAGAUAAUGACGGUACCCACAGAAGAAGCCCCGGCUAACUCCGUGCCAGCCGCCGCGGUAACAC
rnacentral:rRNA from 1 species